rnacentral:rRNA from 1 species
GACAGAGGGUGCAAACGUUGUUCGGAAUUACUGGGCGUAAAGGGCUCGUAGGCGGCCAACUAAGUCGGAUGUGAAAUCCCCAGGCUUAACCUGGGAACUGCAUCCGAUACUGGAUGGCUUGAAUCCGGGAGAGGGAUGCAGGAUUCCAGGUGUAGCGGUGAAAUGCGUAGAUAUCUGGAGGAAUACCGGUGGCGAAGGCGGCAUCCUGGACCGGCAUUGACGCUGAGGAGCGAAAGCUAGGGGAGCAAACGGG